AAUGGAAGUCACUCGAGAGAGCGUACAAGAGAGUCCGGACGAAUAAUAAUAAAUCCGGCAGCGCGGCUGCCGAGUGCAGUUUUGAGGAAGACCUGCAGGACUUCAUGGAAAAACAGCACCAUGUGAGUCCUGUUGUGACGUACACACAGGGACAAAAAAUGGUGCCCGACGACAGGGAGAGGGAACUGCAGGCCCCAAAAGCAGUGGACAGCCCAACUGGCCAUGUGGAGCUGCCUAAACAAAAGAAGGACCGGCCCUUACUGCAGCUCCUGCAAAAGCUAGAUGAGAUAGAAAAAAAUAGGGCAACGCGACACAAGGAGAAGAUGGCCCUGCUGGAGCGCUUCGUGAGCGCAUAUGAAACAAAAAAAUAAACAGCUUG